AGCGAACGCUGGCGGCAGGCUUAACACAUGCAAGUCGAGCGGGCGUAGCAAUACGUCAGCGGCAGACGGGUGAGUAACGCGUGGGAACGUACCUUUUGGUUCGGAACAACACAGGGAAACUUGUGCUAAUACCGGAUAAGCCCUUACGGGGAAAGAUUUAUCGCCGAAAGAUCGGCCCGCGUCUGAUUAGCUUGUUGGUGAGGUAACGGCUCACCAAGGCGACGAUCAGUAGCUGGUCUGAGAGGAUGAUCAGCCACAUUGGGACUGAGACACGGCCCAAACUCCUACGGGAGGCAGCAGUGGGGAAUAUUGGACAAUGGGGGGAAACCCUGAUCCAGCCAUGCCGCGUGAGUGAUGAAGGCCUUAGGGUUGUAAAGCUCUUUUACCCGGGAUGAUAAUGACAGUACCGGGAGAAUAAGCCCCGGCUAACUCCGUGCCAGCAGCCGCGGUAAU
rnacentral:rRNA from 1 species